UGGGGAAUAUUGGACAAUGGGCGCAAGCCUGAUCCAGCCAUGCCGCGUGAGUGAUGAAGGCCCUAGGGUUGUAAAGCUCUUUCAGCGAGGAGGAUAAUGACGUUACUCGCAGAAGAAGCCCCGGCUAACUUCGUGCCAGCAGCCGCGGUAAUACGAAGGGGGCUAGCGUUGUUCGGAAUCACUGGGCGUAAAGCGCACGUAGGCGGACUUUUAAGUCAGGGGUGAGAUCCCGGGGCUCAACCUCGGAACUGCCUUUGAUACUGGAAGUCUGGAGUCCGAGAGAGGUGAGUGGAACUCCGAGUGUAGAGGUGAAAUUCGUAGAUAUUCGGAAGAACACCAGUGGCGAAGGCGGCUCACUGGCUCGGUACUGACGCUGAGGUGCGAAAGCGUGGGGAGCAAAACAGGAUUAGAUACCCUGGUAGUCCACGCCGUAAACGAUGGAAGCUAGCCGUCAGGGUGCAUGCAUCUUGGUGGCGCAGUUAACGCAUUAAGCUUCCCGCCUGGGGGAGUACGGUCGCAAGAUU
rnacentral:rRNA from 1 species